rnacentral:rRNA from 1 species
UGGGGAAUUUUGCACAAUGGGGGAAACCCUGAUGCAGCGACGCCGCGUGAUUUAGAAGGCCUUCGGGUUGUAAAAAUCUUUUCUAUGGGAAGAAAAUGACAGUACCAUAGGAAUAAGGACCGGCUAAUUAGGUGCCAGCAGCCGCGGUAAUACGUAAGGUCCGAGCGUUGUCCGGAAUCAUUGGGCGUAAAGGGUACGUAGGCGGGUAAGCAAGUUAGAAGUGAAAUCCUAUAGCUCAACUAUAGUAAGCUUUUAAAACUGCUCAUCUUGAGGUAUGGAAGGGAAAGUGGAAUUCCUAGUGUAGCGGUGAAAUGCGCAGAUAUUAGGAGGAAUACCGGUGGCGAAGGCGACUUUCUGGCCAUAACCUGACGCUGAGGUACGAAAGCGUGGGUAGCAAACAGG